rfam:Tinamus guttatus contig3967, whole genome shotgun sequence.
CUAGGAGAACCGAAAACAGUUCUAGACUGACCUGCGGUUUUAUAGCACUUUGGCAGUCAACUUCAGCUUGUGUCAGAGCAGACACGACUGAGCUGCCCGACGGUUAAUCGUGGGACGCCACCUACUUGGACCCACUGCAUUUUCCCCCUCCUUGCAUUAAAUAAAUCUCAAACCUUGGGCCCAGGAAGGGGCAACGAGGCUGGCAAAGG